rnacentral:rRNA from 1 species
AAUAUUGGUCAAUGGAGGCAACUCUGAUCCAGCCAUCCCGCGGGUAUGAUGAAGGCCUUCGGGUUGUAAAGUACUUUUGGCAGAGAAGAAAAGGUACCUCCUAAUACGAGGUACUGCUGACGGCAUCUGCAGAAUAAGCACCGGCUAACUACGUUCCAGCAGCCGCGAUAAUACGUAGGGUGCAAGCGUUAAUCGGAAUUACUGGCCGUAAAGCGUGUGUAGGCGGUUCGGAAAGAAAGAUGUGAAAUCCCAGGGCUCAACCUUGGAACUGCAUUUUUAACUGCCGAGCUAGAGUAUGUCAGAGGGGGGUAGAAUUCAACGUGUAGCAGUGAAAUGCGUAGAGAUGUGGAGGAAUACCGAUGGCGAAGGCAGCCCCCUGGGAUAAUACUGACGCUCAGACACGAAGGCGUGGGGAGCAAACA